AAUAAUAACAUAUUGGGGUUAUUGCUAUGUUUAUGUAUUCAUGGUAAUAAAGUGAGGAAGUAAUCAACUGUGCUGGAAUGUAACUAAGUACAUUUACUCAAGUAUUGUACUUCAGUGAUAAUCCUCCAAUAAUGUCUUUAUAUAUCAAUAAAUAUAUAUAUAUAAAUAUAUCAAUGUUUUCUAUAAUAAAUACUUUUACUGAUUUACUCUUCCUGAGGUAGGAUUACUAAUACUGGAGGAUUACUGUGCAGUAAUAGAGUAUUUCUACUGUGAUAUUGUUCCUCAGAGAGGACGAGCAGCUGCAGGCAGAGCGCUCUCAGGGCAGAACAACCACAGGUUGAACGAGCAGCAGCCGGUCAGCCAUUACCAGCACUACCACGCACAGCUGGACGCCUUCCAGAGGAGGAACCAGGAGGACGUCCUUCCUCCUGCUCCUCCUCCUCCUCUUCAGGAGCGCUGUGAAGACCUCGCUGUGGAACCAUACCAGCUUGUGGCUGCAGCUCGUAACGAGUACCUGCAGAGGAGACACGACGCCAACCAGUACAAACUGAGAGCAGAGAAACAGCUGGUAGGAUGAAGCUCACAUUAUUACAUCAUUUAGAGCUCUUACUAAGCCCCGCCCCUUUUUACUCUCUGCUCCAAUCACAGUUGAGCAAGCCUCGGUCAACUUCCUCCUUUCCUGUACUUAGACAUGCUAUGUGCUAGGCUACAAAGAGACACAUCUUAAAGGACAGUUCCGGCGGUAAAUGAACCUGGGGUCACUAACAAGACUCAAAAUAGCACCGCACUUACACGGUAGCAUAAUGAGGGCCCCUACCUGUAAACCGAAGCAUUGAGAACUUUGUAAGUGUACAGACAGUUUAUUAAAAAGAUAGUUUAGAACAACAGUAGUUCACGUAUACAGGCGAGCGCCAUCUUGGGAAAACAGUCAGGGGUUAGGUCAUUCAUACAGAUCAAUGAUAAAGACUUCCAGCUGGCGAUGUGAACUAAAACAAACGUAAUUUGCUCAAUAUAUCAGAAAUAAUCGCACCGAUGUAAAACACACCUCGUCUCGUGUACUUACUCAGUGGAUACCUGUCCAUCUGGUCCCUCCGGUAUGACUCGCUGCCUCCAAUUUAUUUUCGGGACAUGGAAAAAAGUUUUUUAGCGGUUUGUGCUAAAACCGGUCACGGUCGAUUAGCAUGAAAACAUAUCCCAGAGAACGGACCAACUCGGUACACAUGUGUUAUUAACCCCAGGUUCAUUUUGAGCCAGAAUUGUCCUUUAAGUUAGCUAAUGUCAGCAAAACAAAGUGUUAGUUAACUAGCGUUUAGCUGACAUUAGCCUUCUCCUCUAUAGUCUCUGCGUAUAGGCGUUAAAAAUAAAACAACAUUAGCAGGUAGCUGCUGGUCAACGUGGGGUGAGGUAGCACGCAUCAUUGUCUGGAUGCUUCUGCUAGGUGAGGACGAAGGUGGGGUGUUCUGUUCAAAUGUGGGGGAGUUGUUAGUGCACCUAUGCUACUUUUCAAUGUAUUGAGUGGAUGUGUAUCGCCUUUUUUUUUUUUUUCUCUCGCUGUCUUUUUGUUUGUUACAU
rnacentral:lncRNA from 15 species